CGUCGGUUUGGCGACGAUAAAGAGGUUUUUAGGCCAAACGCGGCAGCAUGCAGUAUCUAGAGCGUGCUGCGGAACA
rnacentral:ribozyme from 1 species